GGAUUGUGGCUCAGGGGUAGAAAGCUCGUCUAGCACAUGUGAGGCCCUGGGUUUGAUCCUCAGCACCA
rnacentral:tRNA from 1 species